rnacentral:rRNA from 1 species
GACGAACGCUGGCGGCGUGCCUAAUACAUGCAAGUAGGACGCAGUUGCGACCGGGUGCGUAACGCGUAGGUAACUACCUAUUAGAGGGGGAUAACUAUUGGAAACGAUAGCUAAUACCGCAUACUUGUAGAUGUACCUUCGUUGUAUUAGCUAGUAGGUAGGGUACUGGCCUACCUAGGCAACGCUACAUAGCCGACCUGAAAGGGUGAUCGGUCAAACUGGGACGGAGAAACGGCCGAGAACCCUACGGGAGGCAGCAGUAGGGAAUCUUCGGCAAUGGGGGGAACCCUGACCGAGCAACGCCGCGUGAGUUAAGAAGUUUUUCGGAUCGUAAAGCUCUGUUGUUAAGGAAGCGGUACUUAACCAGAAAGGGACGGCUAACUACGUGCCAGCAGCCGCGGUAAUUC